rnacentral:tRNA from 1 species
GCGGGGAUAGCUCAGUUGGGAGAGCGUCAGACUGAAGAUCUGAAGAUCUGAAGGUCGCGUGUUCGAUCCACGCUCACCGCA